rnacentral:lncRNA from 1 species
GACGUCGGGAUUUUUAUUUGUGCCUUUAUGUUCUUGUCUUUUCGUGUUCUUAUGUUAGGUGAGAUUUGUUUGAAAAAAUAAGUUUGAAAAGGUCCAACAUGUAUAUGUUGACGAUUAGAUUGUAAGAGUCUCCAGUUGGUAUUUUUAAAUGGUUGCACCAACUCAACCGAGAAAUAGUUUGCAUAAUGACCUAGUGAUGUGACACUACUUAACAGGUAUGUG